rnacentral:lncRNA from 1 species
UCUCCCAUCUCCGAGUCGGAUCGUCUCUCCUCUCGUUCUACAAGAGGUAAGAGUAGAUCCAUAGUUCCUUCCAUGUUUUAAGUAAGUUUUAUGAAGUUUCUUGGGGUAGAAAUGCAUGUGUAGGUUUAUGUUGAGUUUUUGGUUAAAUGUGUGUUUAUGAGCAAUGUAUGUUGUAUAUACAUGUUUGAUGUGUUGUAGAUGGGGUUUAG